AUUUGAGAUGGCCACCAAAGGGGACUGCUGGAUCAUAACUGUAAGAAAUCUUUUAGGAGUGCACUUAAGAGUAGUUUCUUCAUGCAACAGAAAGAUCCUCCUUAUACAACUUUUCUCUUGGACUGGCUGUUUUACUGGGAGCUGAAGACGAUGAAAUCACCACAGUCAUUCUCAGUAUCACUGAAGCAAAUGAGACAAGACUCAUCCAGCUAGCCAUGUGAAGAGCUCAGGCUGAUAUAUCAACAUUCCUCAAAGUAUUUACAG
rnacentral:lncRNA from 1 species